AGGUGUGGAUUGCUGAGUGAUAAACUGAGAAAAUGAUUCGGGCUAAUUAAGAGGAAACAGUGUAAGGUCAAUAUGACCUGGAGAGAGAAAAGAAAAACAAAUCGUAAAACUUAAUUGGGCUCCUA